rnacentral:rRNA from 1 species
AUUGAACGCUGGCGGCAGGCCUAACACAUGCAAGUCGAGCGGGGUUUUCGGACCUAGCGGCGGACGGGUGAGUAAUGCGUAGGAAGCUGCCCGAUAGAGGGGGAUACCAGUUGGAAACGACUGUUAAUACCGCAUAAUGUCUACGGACCAAAGUGUGGGACCUUCGGACCACAUGCUAUCGGAUGCGCCUACGUGGGAUUAGCUAGUUGGUGAGGUAAUGGCUCACCAAGGCGACGAUCUCUAGCUGGUUUGAGAGGAUGAUCAGCCACACUGGAACCGAGACACGGUCCAGACUCCUACGGGAGGCAGCAGUGGGGAAUAUUGGACAAUGGGCGCAAGCCUGAUCCAGCCAUGCUGCGUGUGUGAGAAGGCCUUCGGGUUGUAAAGCACUUUCAGCGAGGAGGAAGGGGUGUGUGUUAAUAGUACACACCUUUGACGUUACUCGCAGAAGAAGCACCGGCUAACUCUGUGCCAGCAGCCGCGGUAACAC